CGGUCGGCCCCGCCCCCCAGGGCGGAACCCGCGGGGCGCGGGCUGUGGGGUAGGGGCUAUAGCGCCCCGGCUAUGUUGCUGGGUGCUGGUUCCGCUAGCCUUUCCGUUUGCGGCUUGUUGGCUUUUUCCAGUCUCUCUUCUUUUCAGGUUCUCAGAGAGGGCCGGGCGGUGGCUUCUGCCUGGUGACUCUUGAGCUGCUUGUUUCUAAAAUGGAUGGAAACGUGCUAAAGUUUCUUCGUCUUCAAGGAAUGGGGAAAAUGGGAGCACUACUGCGCCGGGAGGUUUUUUACCUCUCCCCUCACCCUGGCGUAAACCGAAGCAGGAGCAGCCAGAGGAAAAAGGCAAACCUCCACGUACUCUGCACAGGUUUCCUUCGCCCUCCGGAACCGCGCCCGACAGCACCUCUAAACGCUUUCCAUCCGCUGCUUGAGGAAGACAAAAAGACAAGUUUGCCAGUCACCCCUCACCCGGCCACAAAUUGAAAAUAAGAGGUCAGAGCGGUUCCCGGUUCCAAACAAAAUAUAUGAGAAUAAAUAUUAGAAAGCAAUAACUGUCCCCACCCCGUAUAAAGGAUCAUUUUGCAAGACUAUUACGUACCGUUCUGUAAGGUUCUUGGGACAGCAGUGUCCUAUUUUUUAAACAAAGAACUGCAUAUUUUUUGAUCCUAAAGGUCUUAAGCUUCUGAAGGGCUACGUCUGGGAGCUUUAAGAAAUUAAAGAAAGAAUUGAACAUGGUUUUAGGGGGCGGGGUGGGAGAAAGAAUCUUAACUCCAACCUUUGGGGUCCUGAUUGAUGGUGCCACCAGAGGGAUCGUACUCACAGUUAAUGGCGUUGAUUUACCUAAACUGAUGAGUUCAGACUGAGCCAUGGCAGCAACAUUUCUGUCUCUGUCAAAAAUACAAUCUGAAAGAUUUGCUAGAUUUUUAGGAAUUUAUCUUACAGAUAAUCUGACACAAGGAAGUAUAAAGGUAUUUAUUGUAUUGUUUUUAGCAAUGGAAAAUAAAUAAUCUGUGUCCACCAAUAAGGAAAUGGUUAAAGAAAUAGUUAAGUAAGUUAUAUGUUAGGAUUUGGCAUACAUUGCAGGCACGAAAAGUAACGAUCAGUAGCUAUUCAAAUACUGGAAAAGGCGAGUUUUAGAAUGACUACAGUAUCCUAUAAAUAUAUAUCAGCAUAAAAAAUUUCAGGAUAGAUGCAUAAAAAGUGUGAACAGUUAUUUACAGGAGUGGCAAAUAGGGGUGGUAAGAGAUGGAGGUUUUUUACUUUUCACUUUAUAACCAGCCGAAUUUCUUAAAUAAUAAGAAUGUUUUACUUUUGGAAUUUUGUUUUUAAAUAAGAUUGUUAGAAAUUGAGUAUAUUCUGGAAACAGAAUUCGAUUUAAUAAAUGUAUAAAUUACAAUGUUUGGAUAGUCUGCGUUCAUUCAUCAAUUCCUUC
rnacentral:lncRNA from 1 species